AGAGUUUGAUCCUGGCUCAGAACGAACGCUGGCGGCGUGGAUAAGACAUGCAAGUCGAACGGGAUUACUUCUGUAGCAAUACAGAAGUAAUUUAGUGGCGAACGGGUGCGUAACACGUGGGCAAUCUGCCGAAAAGUGGGGGAUAGCUCGCCGAAAGGCGAAUUAAUACCGCAUGUGGUGAGGAGGGACAUCCCUUUGAAUCCAAAGCCGGGGCAACCUGGCGCUUUUUGAGGAGCCCGCGGCCUAUCAGCUAGUUGGUGAGGUAACGGCUCACCAAGGCUAUGACGGGUAGCUGGUCUGAGAGGACGACCAGUCACACUGGAACUGAGACACGGUCCAGACACCUACGGGUGGCAGCAGUCGAGAAUUUUUCUCAAUGGGGGAAACCCUGAAGGAGCGACGCCGCGUGGAGGAUGAAGGCUUUCGGGUUGUAAACUCCUGUCAUUUGAGAACAAGGUGCACCGGUUAACUGCCGGUGCAUUGAUAGUAUCAGAAGAGGAAGGGACGGCUAACUCUGUGCCAGCAGCCGCGGUAAUACAGAGGUCCCAAGCGUUGUUCGGAUUCAUUGGGCGUAAAGGGUGCGUAGGUGGCGCCGUAAGUCGGGUGUGAAAUUUCGGAGCUUAACUCCGAAACUGCAUUCGAUACUGCGGUGCUUGAGGACUGGAGAGGAGACUGGAAUUCAUGGUGUAGCAGUGAAAUGCGUAGAGAUCAUGAGGAAGACCAGUGGCGAAGGCGGGUCUCUGGACAGUUCCUGACACUGAGGCACGAAGGCCAGGGGAGCAAACGGGAUUAGAUACCCUGGUAGUCC
rnacentral:rRNA from 1 species